UGGGGAAUUUUGGACAAUGGGCGAAAGCCUGAUCCAGCAAUGCCGCGUGUGUGAAGAAGGCCUUCGGGUUGUAAAGCACUUUUGUCCGGAAAGAAAUCCUCUGGGUUAAUACCUCGGGGGGAUGACGGUACCGGAAGAAUAAGCACCGGCUAACUACGUGCCAGCAGCCGCGGUAAUACGUAGGGUGCGAGCGUUAAUCGGAAUUACUGGGCGUAAAGGGUGCGCAGGCGGUCUUGCAAGUCAGAUGUGAAGGCCCCGGGCUUAACCUGGGAAUUGCGUUUGAAACUACAAGGCGAGAGUGCAGCAGAGGGGAGUGGAAUUCCAUGUGUAGCAGUGAAAUGCGUAGAGAUGUGGAAGAACACCGAUGGCGAAGGCAGCUCCCUGGGUUGACACUGACGCUCAUGCACGAAAGCGUGGGGAGCAAACA
rnacentral:rRNA from 1 species